GAACUCAAUUUGAGCUUGCAUCAAAUUUGAUUAAAUCCUAUCUAAUAGGCCCUAAUCAAGUAGGAAAAAAUGAUUUUAACCAUGUGCUAGCAUGAUUUUCUAAAACCCAAAGCUAGGACUCAAUUGAUCCUAACUCAAUCUGACUACACUUAGUUUAAUUGUGCAAUCCCAGACCAAUAUCCUUAUUUGCGUGACCCGAUAGGUCCAAUUCUGUUUGAU
rnacentral:lncRNA from 1 species